GAUGAAGAACGUAGCGAAAUGCGAUAAGUAAUGUGAAUUGCAGAAUUCAGUGAAUCAUCGAAUCUUUGAACGCACAUUGCGCCCAUUAGUAUUCUAGUGGGCAUGCCUGUUCGAGCGUCAUUUCAACCCUUAAGCCUAGCUUAGUAUUGGGAAUCGACUUUACUGUCGUUCCCCAAAUUCAACGGCGGAUUUAUAGCAAUCUCUGAACGUAGUAAUUUUUUUUCUCGUUUUUGAAAUACUAUAAACCUCAGCCGCUAAACCCCCAAUUUCUUAUGGUUGACCUCGGAUCAGGUAGGAAUACCCGCUGAACUUAAGCAUAUCAAUAAGCGGAGGA
rnacentral:misc_RNA from 1 species